rnacentral:rRNA from 1 species
UAUGUUGAAGGAACUCGGCAAAAUACCUCCGUAAGUUCGCGAGAAGGAGGCCCGGUUUCUAGGCAACUGGAAGCUGGGGGCACAAACCAGGGGGUGGCGACUGUUUACUAAAAACACAGGGCUCUGCGAAGUCGCAAGACGACGUAUAGGGUCUGACGCCUGCCCGGUGCCUGAAGGUUAAAAGGAGGGGUGAGAGCUCCGAAUUGAAGCCCAGGUAAACGGCGGCCGUAACUAUAACGGUCCUAAGGUAGCGAAAUUCCUUGUCGGGUAAGUUCCGACCUGCACGAAUGGCGUAACGACUUCCCCGCUGUCUCCAACAUAGACUCAGUGAAAUUGAAUUGCCUGUCAAGAUGCAGGCUUCCCGCGGUUAGACGGAAAGACCCCGUGCACCUUUACUACAACUUUACACUGAUAACAGGCACAACAUGUGCAGAAUAGGUGGUAGGCUUUGAAGCAGAAACGCCAGUUUUUGUGGAGCCUCCUUUGAGAUACCACCCUUGUUUUGCUUGUUAUCUAACUGCGGUCCGUUAUCCGGAUCCAGGACCCUGUAUGGUGGGUAGUUUGACUGGGGCGGUCGCCUCCUAAAGCGUAACGGAGGCGCGCGAAGGUUGGCUCAGAGCGGUCGGAAAUCGCUCGUUGAGUGCAAUGGCAGAAGCCAGCCUGACUGCGAGACUGACAAGUCGAGCAGAGUCGAAAGACGGCCAUAGUGAUCCGGUGGUCCCGAGUGGAAGGGCCAUCGCUCAACGGAUAAAAGGUACGCCGGGGAUAACAGGCUGAUGGUGCCCAAGAGUCCAUAUCGACGGCACCGUUUGGCACCUCGAUGUCGGCUCAUCUCAUCCUGGGGCUGGAGCAGGUCCCAAGGGUACGGCUGUUCGCCGUUUAAAGAGGUACGUGAGCUGGGUUUAGAACGUCGUGAGACAGUUCGGUCCCUAUCUGCCGUGGGUGUAGGAUACUUGAGAGGAGUUGCCCCUAGUACGAGAGGACCGGGGUGAACGAUCCACUGGUGGACCAGUUGUCGACUACGGCAGUGCUGGGUAGCUAUGAUCGGACAGGAUAACCGCUGAAAGCAUCUAAGCGGGAAGCCCCCCUCAAAACAAGGUAUCCCUGAGGACCGAGGUAGACCACCUCGUCGAUAGGCCAGAGGUGUAAGCGUGGUAACACGUUCAGCUGACUGGUACUAAUGGUCCGAUAGGCUUGAUUUG